ensembl:lncRNA
GGACCUGCUUUUACGUCUCCGAAUGGUUCUUUUACAAGGAAACAUGAGAACUUUAGGGCCUGGAUUCCUCAGAAGGAGGAAAGAAAGCACUGUUUAAAUUUUUGAUGUUUGUUUCAUAAACAAAGUUAGAACCAUGCACUUGGUCACGCAAGUCCAAAACAAAUUUAGUUCCAUUCAUGUAGAGAAGGUUUGGAGAGCCAGUUCGAAGCUGGUGGCUAUGAGAGCUGGUGACCCAAGGCAAGCCAGGCCUGUGGCUCAGGACUUCAGCGGUUACUCAGCCACAGAAGUUGGCUAGCUCAGUGACUCAGCUUCUGCCUCCUAGGACUGAGAGGAAACAAGAAAGAAUCAUGUCUGUGAGGCCCUUAGCCCUGGGCUUGGCACACAGUAACCAGCAAAGAGUAGAUACGUUGAGAAACUCAUCCUUUUAGAUUAUUGAAAUAUCCACUGAAUCAGAAUAACUGGGGUAAGGGUCUAGGAAUCUGGAUUUGUCCUGAGCCCAGGCAGUGAGGCUAAUGCACCUGAGCUUUGAGAGCCCCUGGUUAACCAGGUCCAUUCCUACCUACAGCUGGCUCAGAUAAAGAGCGAUUGGCAACACCGCUGUGAGGUUUCCUAAUUCACUCAAAGGAAUCUGGAAUCUGAGUCUGGAAGUGAGAUUUUCAAACAGCUGUGGAUGAGAGGGUUUGGGGCAGUGAGUUGCUUCUCCCUCAUCCUGUGGGGCCCCGGGAUGGGGAUGAGGAAAGGGGACUUGGCUGCUCGCUGCUCCGCCCCAGCCCAGAAGGCGAGAUCGGGACAGGAAACACAGGAUAGGAAGAGCUGGGUUUCUCUAAAACGCCCUAGAGCUGGAUCCAUAAUCCAGUGAGAUACAGACAACAUGGCUUCUCUGACGGGGGACAUCCAGGCGGUGCCCUGGGGCCACUCCAGUGCCCAGUUCAUCUGCUCCUGGGUGCUGAGGUUCCAGGUCUGGGCAGAGGCCGGAAUGUGGGUUUGCUUGGUUUAAGACAAGUCCUGGUGAGGGAAGAAGUGCCGACCGCCCCGACUGCCUCCUCUCUCGUGGGAGAUGGGGAAGGAUGCCGCACAGCCUUCCUCCCCCUCUAGCUUUCUCCUUCUAGCCCCCUCCAGAAAGGCUUGUUCAACUGUAACGUAGCUAUAUUACUCCCCCAAAUACUACUAUGAAUGUGCCUUUUUAAAACGGAAUUCUCUAUCCUGGGCACUGUGCCAGGGACUUUACAAAUCUUAGCUCUUUUCGCCUUAACAACUACCCAGUCAGAGAUCAUCUUGUUUACAUAUUUUGAAGCUAAAGAUCAGGAUACUUUCAUCAACAAAGGAGUUUCUUCUUCUUUCUCAUUUGUGAAUGCGUUUAUCUGAAGAGACAACAGCAGGGAAGAAUAUUUGAAAUUGAGACUGUCCCAAAAAAUCUGGGACAAAUGAACAAUUGCUGUAAACUGUCAGUAUAAAAGUGUUAAAAGGACGGUUGCCAGUCAUCAUUGCUGGUUGCUUAAAAACUGGACAAAAUGCGAUUUCUCUCUUUCUCUUUGUCGUUUAUCUAUUUUUCUUCCCAAAGGAAAGUAUAUGUGUUUUCUUCCUUAGAAACAAAGCUCAGGAGAAAAAGGACAAUUAACUACCGAGAGGAAUGAGUCAGAGUUGAUAAAGACACAGAGAAACCAAGGACAUGGGUGGUCAUUUCUUCCAGAAUCCUCAUAAACAGGGCAGUGCAUCUGCAGACGCAACAGGACAGCUGGGGGUGACGAACGGCAGACACAGAAAUCAAAUAGUUUCCUUAUAAAGCAAAACAGCGAGGAAAUUAAUGGCUUACUGAAAACAAAAGAGCAAUCUGGUGACUGCUCUCAGGAUAGCCUCUUCCCCCAGCCCCAGGCAAACCAGAAAAUCCAAUUGAAAGUUUUUAUCAUUUAAUGGCAGGAAGGGGCCAUUAGCAUCCAAUAUACCAAGAGGCAAACCAAACAGAAAUAUUCCUCAGAUUUGUAAUUAACUCUUCAAAGUGCUAAGUCUGCUCUAAAAAAAACGCCCCCUGACAGUUUAAGAGUGGGAACUGUGCUUUUUAAAUGCACAACUUAUCAAGAUCUACCAGGCACAGAGAAACUCUCCAGCCAGUUAACAUCCUGC